AUAUUAUUAAGCGGAGGAAAAGAAACUAACCAGGAUUCCUUUAGUAACGGCGAGUGAACAAGGAAAAGCCCAUCACCGAAUCCUUCCUGGCCUUCAGGUAAGGAAUUGUGGUGUAAAGGACAAUUUCUGUUGUAUUAUCGUCGAUCCGAGUUCUCUUGAAUGGGGCUUUCCCAGAGCGGGUGUCAGGCCUCUAGCGAUCGAUCGGUAAUGUAACUUUUGUUGUCCCGAGAGUCGGGUUGCUUGAGAUCGCAGCCCUAAGACGGGUGGUAAACUCCAUCCAAGGCUAAAUACCGUCGCGAGACCGAUAGCGCACAAGUA
rnacentral:rRNA from 1 species